UUCAUCUCUUCUUCCAAAAAGAAAAAAAAAAAAAAAGCAAGGGUAGGCUGAUGGCGUUUUUUAUGGUUGCGGGCUCGGAACCCCAAACCGAUAGACAAAGGGAGGACUUGUAUGCCAUUGCUGCCCUCAACGAGUCUGCUGUGAUAGAACUCAAGGAGCGGAGCAAUUAGUAUGCGAAAAUGGGGAAGAGGCUUUACUCGGAUGCUAUCGCUUGCUGCAUCAGGGCAAUCAGUCAGAAUUCCUUGAGCGAUUCAGAUAAGUGGGUCCUUUUUUCUAAUCUUGCCCAUGUGAAUUUUAUGUUAGGAAAUUACAGAUGCGGAAGAGGCAAUCAAACUCUGCUCGACCAAUGUUAAGGUUGAUAUUCUGCUUCAAUUUCUCAAAGGAGCUCAUUUGGUUGCUUGUAGUUUGAAAUUAUGUUUUCACUCGUUUGGAGUGCGAAAAAUGCAAUGUGCAACUUUUGCUGAGUUAUACGGAGGUUUCUAGUGUUUGAAAUUAAUUGUAAUUUCUAUUUCUAUGAAGCCAAAUGAUGCAUUCUUUAUUGUUUUGAAAAACCUAUUUUGGAAUUCAAGCAUCCAAAUGAGCUGUAACUGCUAGAUUUGUCUGUGAAUGAAUUCUGGAUCUUACCAGUA